AGAGAGAGAGAGUGGGAAGCAGAAGACAAAGAGAGAAAAGCAGAUUAAUUGCCCUCAAGAUAGCAAACAGAAGAGCCAGAAAGAGACAGAAAGCGAAGCGAGAACAAGUUAAAGCAAAAGAUUUUGCAUUGUAUAGAUUAAAUACUAUUUGAAACGUUUACGAGUUAGAUACAAAGCAACCCUAAUGAAUAUAAGCAAUACGUCAAAGCAUAUUCUUUACAUAAUCGAACACGAUUGAAAGCAUAAAUAGAAAGAAAAUGCCAACGCAAUGAUUACGAUAUAGAGACUGAGUGUGAGUGUCGCAAUCGUUUACGGAUAGGAUUCAAAGAAGAAUUUACAAAACGGAAAAAAUAUUGGAAUUUGAAUACUGAAACCAAAUAAAAUAUGAUAUAUAGAAAUAUAUAUAUAUAUGUGUAAAGGACAUAUGCCAUAAUUCUUGCCCCAUAUAUGAGCCGAGUUGCAAGUGGGCUAAGCCUAAAGAUUGCGAGUCGAGUCGAGUGGAAGUCGCAACGAUCAACGACCUGAGACACCCCCGCUCUAAAUUCCAGAGCCCGGCCCAGGCAGACAAUGGGCGGGCAUUCAUCUUUACGUAAUUCCCAACCAAACAAAAAACAGCAACAUUAAAAAAUGUUUGCCUGAAACAAAGCAGAAAAGUGAAAGUCUAAGAGAGAAAUACGUAGAGUCCCUCACAAAAAAAAAAACGAGAAAAAAUCAAAUAUAAUUACUAUGCAUCAGAAAGGCGAACAAGGCGAAGCGUCGCGUCGCGUCUCUGGCAUGCCAUCAAAUUAAUGAAUGAAUAUAAAAAUCUCGAGCUCCCCUCGCAACACCCCCUCCACAUAAAAAAAGUAUCUGAACCGAGCUACAAUUGUUGCCAGCUGUCUAAGCCAGAACCAGUUUCGAAUUUCGAAUUUGGAUAACGAUUUGUCGGGCCAAUUCGAAUUCAAUAAAAAAUGUUGCAGGAAAUUCGUUUGCCUCAACCCAAAUGAAACAAAAACAUUGAAGCGCACAAUUUUAUAUACGAAAUUUAAAUAACUUUUGAAUAAAAUCAGGCAAUGAACGCACACUUUUAAUUUAAAUAAAAAAAAAAGGUUGAGA